rnacentral:ncRNA from 2 species
CUCACAGUUUAGGGGUGCCCCAUGCCGGGAGUGGCAGCGGGGCUGAGAUCAUACCCAUUGAACCUGCCCGGGUAAUGCCGGCGAAGGGAACAAACGAUCCGCGAGCGA